GUGCAUGAAGUAGAAUAAACACUUUCUGAAAUAUUUCAUGGGAGAUAAUUAACCUAACUGAGUUCAAUGUUGAACAGGAAUGAUGGGGUAUUUUUUAAUGAGCUCUAGUUAAUGCUGGUGUGAAAUAUAAGAAAAUGCAUCCUCAGUCUGAGCCCUAAUGCUUUCAUGUGAUGUCUGGUGUUGCACAUUGGACAAAAUCGAAAACAUGUAGCAAAACCAUAAAUAUUGUCCAACAUGUUUAACCCCACCACAUUAUGUAUGUAUGUGUCUGUCCCAAGUCAGGAGCCUGUUAUUCAGUGGUUGUGGUUUGUUUGUGUGUAAAAUAUUUGUUUUUUGAUCAUUUUUUUUUUAAAUAAGGCCGUGUGUUUUCUCGUUUGAAUUGUUUUACAUUGCCAUUUUGGACCUUUUAAAGCUGACUAUGCGGUAUAGGCUUUGCUCAUUGUUGAAGGCCGUACAGUUACCUAUAACUUAAUUUCUGUGUCAUUUUGGUCUCUUGUAGAAGAGUUGUCUCAUUGGCAAUCAUACAACAUCUUCUUUUUAUUAUAUACUUUUGAAAUAUGAGCAAAAAGGAGAGAAUUUUCAUAUUUCAGGUCCUAAAAUUACCUUGACCUUUGACCUUUUGACCUCAAGGUUGAAGCUAAUCCUAUAUCUAAUGCAUAUCAUAAAGUUAUCAUAAUUAACAAAUGUAAUGAAAGAUUAUAGUACAUAAAGGUAAGUUUACUAUAGAAAAUUGAGC
rnacentral:lncRNA from 1 species